rnacentral:rRNA from 1 species
AUUGAACGCUGGCGGUAUGCUUAACACAUGCAAGUCGAACGAGUGGCGGACGGGUGAGUAAUGCAUAGGAAUCUACCUUUUAGUCUAGGAUAACUACCGGAAAGGAUUGCUAAUACUGCAUGCUAAGAGAUGAGCCUAUGUGGGAUUAGCUAGUUGGUGGGGUAAUGGCUCACCAAGGCGACGAUCGCUAGCUGGUUUGAGAGGAUGAUCAGCCACACUGGGACUGAGACACGGCCCAGAAGCCUACUGGAGGAAGCAGUGGGGAAUAUUGGACAAUGGGCGAAAGCCUGAUCCAGCAAUAACGCGUGGGGGAAGAAGGCCCUAGGGGUGUAAAGCACUUUUGUUAGGGAGAUGUUACCUAAAGAAUAAGCACCGGCUAACUCCGUGCCAGCCGCCGCGGUAAUUC